GCAAUAUAUUGCAAAAUCAAAUCAGGCGUCUCUAUUGGUGAAAAAUAUUGUAAAGUCAAAUUGAGCAUUUCUAUUGGCCAAGAAUGUUGCAUCGCUCGUAAUUUGAGGAGAAUGCUUGGCGCGGGGUGGCAUUCUCUGUUGAAAUCUGUGGAGCGAGAAUUUGUCGCAUUAGUCCGUAAUUAUUAGUACUUUCAUUCCAAUUUUAUCAUUAUUUCUACACUUCUAUCUGCUUCAUUUAAAUAAUUAUUGGUACGUGAUCGAAAGAAUGGGGAUUUACGGAAUAAUGGACGUCACAGGUGAUCAAUAAUCAAUUCAUUGAUUUUUCGUGCAGAUUUGGUAAUGAUUAAGCUAUUAUACCAAAGCAAAUGUAUGUAUAUGUUUAUUUUCCAUUUUUGUUGGAUCAAUGAUAAUCAAUAUUUAUUACAUAAUUGUUACACAGCUUACGAUUGAUAUAUAAUAACAUUAUUUUAUAAAUGGUUGCAUAAUUUUUUGAAAAUGUUAAAAUGAAAGAAAAAGAGGUUAUAGAAAUCAUUUUUUAAAAAUAUUUCGAUUAUAUAGAUCGACAUUAAUAAUUGCAUAUAUUAUUAAUUAAUUAAUGUUUUCAUAUCAAUAUGUAGCAAAUUAUACGAAUCAUUUAAUUGUUAUUAGAAGAUAAUCUAUCGCGAAGUUAUUCUGUUUGUACAUAUUUGUACAAGAAUAUCAGUUUAUUAUUUUCUCGGAAGAGACUGAAUAAAACUUGUCGAGACACGUACAGGAUUAUAUGUAUAUACGCUCUAAUCACUUCAGGCAUGUUUAGUUAAAAAAAUGUAAUUUAUUACGAGCAUUGUCGAAUCCUCAUAAGGUGCAACGUAAUAUAUUAGUAAAAACCAUAUUUCAAACUUUGAUGACGAACAUUCACAAUUGAAUUCUUCUUGUAGAGUUGGUUUUAUAUUUUAAAAUAUUAAUAAAUAUUUGGAAAUAUGUUAGAAAAUAUCUUACAAUAUAUAAGCAGUGUUUGAAAUACUACAUGUAUAUAUAAACUUCCAGAAACUGCGAUAUCUCCAAAACAAACUCUCAAUCGCUCCCUCUGUUUCUCCUCGCUAAUACAAUCUGUUUUCAGAGAAUGUUUGUGUCCGCGCGCAAUGCGGUCGGUGGAGUCAGUGUUUGCUGCGUAAUAACAUUUGUAUUUUCUAGAGCACAAUAGCUCUUAAUAAUUAUAAAUUUAAUUACAAUAUUUGUACGUGAAAUUAGAGUCAGUGUGUUCGCCGAUUGUUAACUACGGACGCGUUAAUAGCUCUUUUUUUUUCUUUUUUUAUACAUCAUUUUAAACAUUCGCUUUCGGUAGUAGAGUCGCAGGUUUCGCAAGAGGAUACAAUCUCUUCUGUGAUUUGAGAAUGUAUUUCACAACUUCUAGCUUUUCUUGUGUUUUUGGAAGGAUGCAGUGGUGCUUGAAAAC